UUGCAGUAGGAGCCCACCCUACCGCAAUAGGCCCUCAUCUUGAUGGAUGACAGCUGCAGUAGCUCUAACUCCAAACAGGAUUGCAUUCUGACGUAAUGAGGAUUAGAAUUUCAACAAAUCUUUCUUAGGAGCGUUCCUGAGCUCUGAGACUAAGUGGAAAGCCAGGAAGAGAUGCUAAUCUGGAUGACAGAUCCCCAGCCUGCACUGUAGAAAGGGUUGAAGUUUUAGAAGACAGAAGCAAAAUAGCAGAAGACAGAAGG